rnacentral:rRNA from 1 species
UUUUCCUACGGGACGCAGCAGUGAGGAAUAUUGGUCAAUGGGCGCGAGCCUGAACCAGCCAAGUCGCGUGAGGGAGGACGGCCCUACGGGUUGUAAACCUCUUUUGCCGGGGAGCAACGGGCGUCACGUGUGGCGCCACUGAGAGUACCCGGAGAAAAAGCAUCGGCUAACUCCGUGCCAGCAGCCGCGGUAAUACGUAUGGUGCAAGCGUUAUCCGGAUUUACUGGGAGUAAAGGGAGCGCAGGCGGCACGGCAAGCCUGAUGUGAAAGCCCGCGGCCCAACCGCGGGACUGCAUUGGGAACGA